GCUGGGAUAGCUCAGUUAAUACAGCAUGAGACUCUUAAUCUCAGGGUUCAAGAUCAUGGGUUCAAGCCCCACUUUGGGCA